rnacentral:rRNA from 1 species
UAGGGAAUCUUCCACAAUGGACGCAAGUCUGAUGGAGCAACGCCGCGUGAGUGAAGAAGGUUUUCGGACCGUAAAGCUCUGUUGUUGGUGAAGAAGGAUAGAGGUAGUAACUGGCCUUUAUUUGACGGUAAUCAACCAGAAAGUCACGGCUAACUACGUGCCAGCAGCCGCGGUAAUACGUAGGUGGCAAGCGUUGUCCGGAUUUAUUGGGCGUAAAGCGAGCGCAGGCGGAAGAAUAAGUCUGAUGUGAAAGCCCUCGGCUUAACCGAGGAAUUGCAUCGGAAACUGUUUUCUUGAGUGCAGAAGAGGAGAGUAGAACUCCAUGUGUAGCGGUGGAAUGCGUAGAUAUAUGGAAGAAUACCAGUGGCGAAGGCGGCUCUCUGGUCUGCAACUGACGCUGAGGCUCGAAAGCAUGGGUAGCGAACAGGAUUAGAUACCCUGGUAGUCCAUGCCGUAAACGAUGAGUGCUAAGUGUUGGGAGGCUUCCGCCUCUCAGUGCUGCAGCUAACGCAUUAAGCACUCCGCCUGGGGGAGUACGACCGCAAGGUUGAA